rnacentral:rRNA from 1 species
AUUCGAUGCAACGCGAAGAACCUUACCUGGGUUUGACAUGCACAGGAUCGCCCCUGAGAGGGGGUUUCCCUUGUGGCCUGUGUGCAGGUGGUGCAUGGCUGUCGUCAGCUCGUGUCGUGAGAUGUUGGGUUAAGUCCCGCAACGAGCGCAACCCUUGUCCUGUGUUGCCAGCACGUGAUGGUGGGGACUCGCAGGAGACUGCCGGGGUCAACUCGGAGGAAGGUGGGGAUGACGUCAAGU